rnacentral:piRNA from 1 species
UAAAACCAUUUACAUCACUGCCACUGUUCC